UGGCUUCCGCAGCACAUAUACUAAAAUUGGAACGACACAGAGAAGAUUAGCAUGACCCCUGCGCAAGAAUGACACACAAAUUUGUGAAGCGUUCUAUAUUUUU
rnacentral:snRNA from 1 species